GACGAACGCUGGCGGCGUGCUUAACACAUGCAAGUCGAACGGAAAGGCCCUGCUUUUGUGAGGUGCUCGAGUGGCGAACGGGUGAGUAACACGUGAGUAACCUGCCCUUGACUUUGGGAUAACUUCAGGAAACUGGGGCUAAUACCGGAUAGGAGCUCCUGCUGCAUGGUGGGGGUUGGAAAGUUUCGGCGGUUGGGGAUGGACUCGCGGCUUAUCAGCUUGUUGGUGGGGUAGUGGCUUACCAAGGCUUUGACGGGUAGCCGGCCUGAGAGGGUGACCGGCCACAUUGGGACUGAGAUACGGACCAGACUCCUACGGGAGGCAGCAGUGGGGAAUAUUGCACAAUGGGCGGAAGCCUGAUGCAGCAACGCCGCGUGCGGGAUGACGGCCUUCGGGUUGUAAACCGCUUUCGCCUGUGACGAAGCGUGAGUGACGGUAAUGGGUAAAGAAGCACCGGCUAACUACGUG
rnacentral:rRNA from 1 species